rnacentral:rRNA from 1 species
CGCGUAGGCGGCGCGAUAAGUCGGGUGUGAAAUCCCGGAGCUCAACUCCGGGGCUGCAUCCGAUACUGUCGUGCUCGAGCCUGGUAGAGGCGAGUGGAAUUCCCGGUGUAGCGGUGGAAUGCGUAGAUAUCGGGAAGAACACCAGUGGCGAAGGCGGCUCGCUGGGCCAGUGCUGACGCUGAGGCGCGAAAGCGUGGGGAGCAAACA